AAUGAACGCUGGCGGCAGGCCUAACACAUGCAAGUCGAACGGAUCCUUCGGGAUUAGUGGCGGACGGGUGAGUAACGCGUGGGAACAUACCCUUUGGUACGGAAUAGCCUCGGGAAACUGGGAGUAAUACCGUAUGUGGUCGAGAGACGAAAGAUUUAUCGCCAAAGGAUUGGCCCGCGGUGGAUUAGGUAGUUGGUGGGGUAAUGGCCUACCAAGCCGACGAUCCAUAGCUGGUUUGAGAGGAUGAUCAGCCACACUGGGACUGAGACACGGCCCAGACUCCUACGGUAGGCAGCAGUGGGGAAUCCUAGACAAUGGGGGAAACCCUGAUCUAGCCAUGCCGCGUGAUCGAUGAAGGCCUUAGGGUUGUAAAGAUCUUUCAGGUGGGAAGAUAAUGACUGUACCACCAGAAGAAGCCCCGGCUAACUCCGUGCCAGCCGCCGCCGUAA
rnacentral:rRNA from 1 species